rnacentral:rRNA from 1 species
UACGGAGGGGACUAGCGUUGUUCGGAAUUACUGGGCGUAAAGCGCACGUAGGCGGAUUUGUAAGUCAGGGGUGAAAUCCCGGGGCUCAACCUCGGAACUGCCUUUGAUACUGCAAAUCUCGAGUCCGGAAGAGGUGAGUGGAAUUCCUAGUGUAGAGGUGAAAUUCGUAGAUAUUAGGAAGAACACCAGUGGCGAAGGCGGCUCACUGGUCCGGUACUGACGCUGAGGUGCGAAAGCGUGGGGGAGCAAACAGGG